rnacentral:rRNA from 1 species
CCUACGGGAGGCAGCAGUGAGGAAUAUUGGUCAAUGGGCGCGAGCCUGAACCAGCCAAGUCGCGUGAGGGAAGACGGUCCUAUGGAUUGUAAACCUCUUUUGUCGGGGAGCAAAAGACGCCACGCGUGGCGUUCCGAGAGUACCCGAAGAAAAAGCAUCGGCUAACUCCGUGCCAGCAGCCGCGGUAAUACGGAGGAUGCGAGCGUUAUCCGGAUUUAUUGGGUGUAAAGGGCGAGUAGGCGGGAUUGCAAGUCAGAUGUGAAAACUAUGGGCUCAACCGAUAGAGUGCAUUUGAAACUGCAGUUCUUGAGUGAUGGAGAGGCAGGCGGAAUUCCCGGUGUAGCGGUGGAAUGCGUAGAUAUCGGGAGGAACACCAGUGGCGAAGGCGGCCUGCUGGACAUUAACUGACGCUGAGGCGCGAAAGCGUGGGGAGCAAACAGGAUUAGAUACCCGUGUAGUC